rnacentral:sRNA from 1 species
UAAUAGAAAUAAGGAAAAUGCUGUUUGAAAUAUUCCCUUUAAUUUUACAGGUUCCUUUUUAACCCUUCUGCCUGCCUCGAUGAACACUUAAUGCAGUUUAAGUUUUUAGGAAUUUUAAUGGGGGUUGCCAUUCGCACAAAGAAGCCUCUGGACCUCCACUUGGCCCCUCUGGUGUGGAAGCAGCUGUGCUGUGUCCCACUCACCCUAGAGGACCUGGAGGAGGUGGAUCUGCUCUACGUGCAGACUCUCAACAGCAUUCUUCACAUUGAAGACAGUGGGAUUACCGAGGAGAGUUUCCAUGAGAUGAUUCCUCUUGAUUCUUUUGUUGGCCAGAGUGCUGAUGGCAAAAUGGUUCCUAUAAUCCCUGGUGGAAAUAGUAUCCCACUCACAUUUUCCAACAGGAAGGAAUAUGUGGAGAGGGCCAUUGAAUAUCGACUUCAUGA